GACAGAGGUGCCAAGCGUUAGGCGGAAUCACUGGGCUUAAAGCGUGUGUAGGUGGAUGCCUAAGUACCUUGUGAAAUCCCACGGCUCAACCGUGGAACUGCUCGGUAUACUGGGUGUCUUGAGCCACUUAGGGGCUACCGGAACAAAUGGUGGAGCGGUGAAAUGCGUAGAUAUCAUUUGGAACGCCAAUGGUGAAAAACAGGUAGCUGGGAGUGUGCUGACGCUGAGACACGAAAGCCAGGGGAGCGAACGGG
rnacentral:rRNA from 1 species